rnacentral:rRNA from 1 species
GAGACAGCAGCAUCCGCGGGAAUACAGAGGGUGCGAGCGUUAAUCGGAUUUACUGGGCGUAAAGCGUGCGUAGGCGGCUUCUUAAGUCGGAUGUGAAAUCCCUGAGCUUAACUUAGGAAUUGCAUUCGAUACUGGGAAGCUAGAGUAUGGGAGAGGAUGGUAGAAUUCCAGGUGUAGCGGUGAAAUGCGUAGAAAUCUGGAGGAAUACCGAUGGCGAAGGCAGCCAUCUGGCCUAAUACUGACGCUGAGGUACGAAAGCAUGGGGAGCAAACAGGAUUAGAUACCCCAGUAGUCCCUGUCUCUUAUAC